UACGAAGGGGGCUAGCGUUGUUCGGAAUCACUGGGCGUAAAGCGCACGUAGGCGGCUUUGUAAGUUAGAGGUGAAAGCCCAGGGCUUAACCCUGGAAUUGCCUUUAAGACUGCAUCGCUAGAAUCGUGGAGAGGUGAGUGGAAUUCCGAGUGUAGAGGUGAAAUUCGUAGAUAUUCGGAAGAACACCAGUGGCGAAGGCGACUCACUGGACACGUAUUGACGCUGAGGUGCGAAAGCGUGGGGAGCAACAGG
rnacentral:rRNA from 1 species